AAUAAUUAUGAGAAUGAAUACCUAGGUGUUAUGGAUGAGGAUGACUCAACAGAGGAUGAUGAUUAUGUCAUGGAUGAGAGUGACAAUAAAGUGAGCUAUCAAUCUAGUAAUGACAGUGAUGAAGAUGAUGGACUUUAUCAUGCUUAUGUGGACCAUAAGGUGUGAGAGAAAUUUGGAGAAGAUGAUCCUGUAAGGGGGGUUGAGUGGUAUGAGCAACUAGUGGCAAGAAAAGGAUGUGCACUCUGAUUAUGCACC
rnacentral:lncRNA from 1 species